rnacentral:tRNA from 1 species
UAGCUCUGUUGGUAGAGCAUGGCGCUUGCAACGCCAGGGUUGUGGGUUCAAUUCCCAC